rnacentral:rRNA from 1 species
GACGUAGGGUGCGAGCGUUGUCCGGAUUUCUUGGGCGUAAAGAGCUCGUAGGCGGUGUGUCGCGUCGGCCGUGAAAACCUGGGGCUUAACUCUGGGCUUGCGGUCGAUACGGGCAUCACUGGAGUUCGGCAGGGGAGACUGGAAUUCCUGGUGUAGCGGUGAAAUGCGCAGAUAUCAGGAGGAACACCGGUGGCGAAGGCGGGUCUCUGGGACGGUACUGACGCUGAGACGCGAAAGCGUGGGGAGCGAACAGG